rnacentral:rRNA from 1 species
GACGGAGGAUGCAAGCGUUAUUCGGAAUGAUUGGGCGUAAAGCGUCCGCAGGUGGCAGUUCAAGUCUGCUGUCAAAGACCGGGCUUAACUUCGGAAAGGCAGUGGAAACUGAACAGCUAGAGUAUGGUAGGGGCAGAGGGAAUUCCUGGUGUAGCGGUGAAAUGCGUAGAGAUCAGGAAGAACAUCGGUGGCGAAGGCGGAUCUCUGGGCCAUUACUGACGCUGAGGAGCGAAAGCGUGGGGAGCAA